GACGAACGCUGGCGGCGUGCUUAACACAUGCAAGUCGAACGGAAAGGCCCUGCUUUUGUGGGGUGCUCGAGUGGCGAACGGGUGAGUAACACGUGAGUAACCUGCCCUUGACUUUGGGAUAACUUCAGGAAACUGGGGCUAAUACCGGAUAGGAGCUCCUGCUGCAUGGUGGGGGUUGGAAAGUUUCGGCGGUUGGGGAUGGACUCGCGGCUUAUCAGCUUGUUGGUGGGGUAGUGGCUUACCAAGGCUUUGACGGGUAGCUGGCCUGAGAGGGUGACCGGCCACAUUGGGACUGAGAUACGGCCCAGACUCCUACGGGAGGCAGCAGUGGGGAAUAUUGCACAAUGGGCGGAAGCCUGAUGCAGCAACGCCGUGUGCGGGAUGACGGCCUUCGGGUUGUAAACCGCUUUCGCCUGUGACGAAGCGUGAGUGACGGUAAUGGGUAAAGAAGCACCGGCUAACUACGUG
rnacentral:rRNA from 1 species